CGUAAAUGUAUAGCGUGAGAGGGACGUAACGCUGGUUAGCUAGCAAGCUCUCACCUUCACGUACGUAUUCGGCUACAUCAAUACUUAUAGCCCGGCUACAAGCUCAUAGUUAGCCUAGUUUGAACCAUACCUGCAGUACUACGGGACUGAGCAUGUCGACUGUUGGUGGCCGUCCGUAUCAAGCUGCUAUCAAACGGCAGGGUCUGGUACACAGUUUUACAUCUCCACUCCGGACAAUGGUACGGCCCGUUCGGAACAACACUCCACAAGUCUCCUAUACAUCGUUGGCAGAACCGGUGGUUACAUUUUAGAGUAACGGGGUCCCCUGUCAGCUCGUUGCACAGAGGACACCUUGCCGGAGUGUCCAGCGAUGCACCCAUUUUGUUUUUGGCUGAUGUUAAGUUUCUAUUUCCGCGAUGACAAACAGCAGAGGCGGGGCUACAUUUUUGAAUCCCGCUCCCCCUCCCGGAAGUGCAUUUCUUAAAGUGUUGUGUAAGGACACCGAUGAAGUUGUUUUGAUGCAAGCGAUGCUGGUAAUUUCAUCAAUGGUUUUGCAAGCACCUUUGCAACCCGCCCUGUGUCCUCAACUUGUCCGUUAACCCACAGAUCCCAGCUCUGGUUGUGAAGACGCUGCUUGCCAGUCGAGCUCUGAGUUUUUUCAGCCCACUGAACCCACCUUUGCACAUUCAGCUUGUCAAUAAACAGUUCUAAGUGUGAAUUAA